rnacentral:rRNA from 1 species
UUCUCCUACGGGGCGCAGCAGUGGGGAAUAUUGCACAAUGGGGGAAACCCUGAUGCAGCAACGCCGCGUGAGUGAUGACGGCCUUCGGGUUGUAAAGCUCUGUCUUCAGGGACGAUAAUGACGGUACCUGGGGAGGAAGCUCCGGCUAACUACGUGCCAGCAGCCGCGGUAAUACGUAGGGAGCAAGCGUUGUCCGGAAUUACCGGGUGUAAAGGGAGCGUAGGCGGGGAUGUAAGUUGGGGGUCAAAACUACCGGCUCAACCGAUAGUCGCACUCAAAACUG